rnacentral:rRNA from 1 species
UAUUCUUUAUAGCUUGCUAUGAUAGAAAUUAGUGGCAGACGGGUGAGUAAUGCAUAGGAAUCUACCUAGUAGUAUGGGAUAGCCACUAGAAAUGGUGGGUAAUACUGUAUAAUCCCUGCGGGGGAAAGAUUUAUCGCUAUUAGAUGAGCCUAUGUUAGAUUAGCUAGUUGGUAGGGUAAAGGCCUACCAAGGCAGUGAUCUAUAGCUGGUCUGAGAGGAUGAUCAGUCACACUGGAACUGAGAUACGGUCCAGACUCCUACGGGAGGCAGCAGUGGGGAAUAUUGGACAAUGGGCGCAAGCCUGAUCCAGCUAUGCCGCGUGAGUGAGGAAG